rnacentral:rRNA from 1 species
AUACGUAGGAUCCGAGCGCUGUCCGGAUUUACUGGGCGUAAAGGGUGCGUAGGCGGCGCGGUAAGUCUCAUGUGAAAUCUCCCGGCUUAACUGGGAGGGGUCAUGGGAAACUGCCAUGCUCGAGGGCAGCAGAGGAGAGCGGAAUUCCGGGAGUAGCGGUGAUAUGCGUAGAUACCCGGAGGAACACCCGUGGCGAAAGCGGCUCUCUGGGCUGUACCUGACGCUAAGGCACGAAAGCGUGGGGAGCAAACCGGAUUAGAAACCCGGGUAGUCC